GGCAGAGUAGGUAAAGCGCGUUAAGUGUUAAAGGAUGGGAUGUUGCCUUUAAACGAAAGAUGCAUUUAAAAAUCUGCGAUACUUUACCGCAUUCGCUGUU
rnacentral:ncRNA from 2 species